rnacentral:rRNA from 1 species
CAGUAGCCGCGGUAAUACGAGGGGGGCAAGCGUUGUUCGGAUUUAUUGGGCGUAAAGGGUGCGUAGGCGGUUUGAUAAGUCUGAUGUGAAAUCCCCGGGCUCAACCUGGGAACUGCAUUUGAGACUGUAUGGCUAGAGUGUGUCAGAAGGGGGUAGAAUUCCACGUGUAGCAGUGAAAUGCGUAGAUAUGUGGAGGAAUACCGAUGGCGAAGGCAGCCCCCUGGGAUAACACUGACGCUCAUGCACGAAAGCGUGGGGAGCAAACAGGAUUAGAUACCCCCGUAGUCCCUGUCUCUUAUAC